UGGGGAAUCUUAGACAAUGGGGGCAACCCUGAUCUAGCCAUGCCGCGUGAGUGACGAAGGCCCUAGGGUCGUAAAGCUCUUUCGCCAGGGAUGAUAAUGACAGUACCUGGUAAAGAAACCCCGGCUAACUCCGUGCCAGCAGCCGCGGUAAUACGGAGGGGGUUAGCGUUGUUCGGAAUUACUGGGCGUAAAGCGCACGUAGGCGGAUUUUUAAGUUAGAGGUGAAAUCCCAGGGCUCAACCCUGGAACUGCCUUUAAUACUGGAAGUCUUGAGUUCGAGAGAGGUGAGUGGAAUUCCGAGUGUAGAGGUGAAAUUCGUAGAUAUUCGGAGGAACACCAGUGGCGAAGGC
rnacentral:rRNA from 1 species